rnacentral:rRNA from 1 species
AUUGAACGCUGGCGGCAUGCCUUACACAUGCAAGUCGAACGGUAACAGGUCUUCGGAUGCUGACGAGUGGCGAACGGGUGAGUAAUACAUCGGAACGUGCCCGAGAGUGGGGGAUAACGGAGCGAAAGCUUUGCUAAUACCGCAUACGAUCUACGGAUGAAAGCAGGGGACCGCAAGGCCUUGCGCUCGUGGAGCGGCCG